CGUCACAAGCCUACCCCACAAAGGAGAAAUAGUGAGCUAAAUAAUUUUAAAUAAAAAAGUCAGGUCAAGGUGUAGCAAAUGGGGCGGGAAGAAAUGGGCUACAUUUUCUAAAAAGAAUAUACGAAAUAUUUUAUGAAACAAAAUAUGAAGGAGGAUUUAGCAGUAAAGAGAAAAAAGAGUGUUCUCUUAAAGCCGGCAAUGGAGCAAGCACACACCGCCCGUCACCCUCUUAUAUAUAAAUAUAUUAAAUAAAAAUCUAUAGUUAAAGUAGAGGAAAGUCGUAACAUGGUAAGUCUACCGGAAGGUGGCCUUGGAA
rnacentral:rRNA from 1 species